rnacentral:misc_RNA from 1 species
AGAAAACAGAGUGUGAGAAGAGAGAGUUGUGGGAAGGAUAGAAAAUGGGAGUAUUGCAUGAGGAUGCGGUGGUAAUCAGUGAGGCUGAGAAGCCUGGAGAGUCCACUGUGAUCACUGUGAAUUGCCCUGACAAAACUGGGCUUGGCUGUGAUUUGUGCAGGAUUAUCUUGCUCUUUGGGCUAAGUAUUUCUAGAGGAGAUUUGCAAAC